rnacentral:rRNA from 1 species
GACGAACGCUGGCGGCGUGCCUAAUACAUGCAAGUCGAGCGCUGAAGGUUGGUCUUUUUUCCGACUGGAUGAGCAGCGAACGGGUGAGUAACGCGUGGGUAAUCUGCCUUUGUGUUUGGGAUAACACUUGGAAACGAAUGCUAAUACCGCAUAAUAACUUUACACACAAGUUUUAAGUUUGAAAGAUGCUAUUGUAUCACUCAAUGAUGAUCCCGCGUUGUAUUAGCUAGUUGGUGGGGUAAAGGCUCACCAAGGCGAUGAUACAUAGCCGAGCUGAGAGGGUGAGAGGCCACAUUGGGACAGAGACACGGCCCAAACGCCUACGGGAGGAAGCAGGAGGGAAGCGUCGGAAAUGGACGAAAGGCUGACAGAGCGACGCAGCGUGAGUGAAGGAGGGUUGCGGAUCGUAGAACUCUGUUGGUAGAGAAGAAAGGGGGAGGGAGUGGAAAGCGCAUGAAGUGACGGUAACUGGUAAAGAAGCGACGGCUAACUACGUG